CACUCAAUUGCUCAAGUUGUACUCAGUCAUAAUUGUAAGAUGUUUUGGAUAAAAGUGUCAGAUAAAUGUAAAUUUCAGAAAGGUGACAAAUCACACUUCAGUUCACCUCUCUUCUGGUUUAGAAUUUCUUGCAUGAAACACUAACACAAUUAGAAUGCAUAAAUGUUGUCUUUGAAGAAUUCUGACACCAAAGUAAUUUAUAACCUGUGUUUGCUUUGUGUUAAAUUAUUAGUAUUCUUCAGGCUUAUUUCUAGUAGGUUUUCGGUUCCCGUGAAAUGUCCGUUUUGUGUAUGAAGCAUUUUGGCAGCUGGUUACCCUGCAGCACUGUAAACAAACAUGUGCAGCCUCAGCAUUUACAUUUUGUGGGGAAACACACUCAGGUGGCUUUUGUACGUUUUCUUUUUAGUCAACUCCUGUUGACUGCAAAAAGUGCUAAAUUGAAUUGUAAUUCUUAGAAAUUGAGUCAUGAUAGUAGGUUAACACCCCCAUUAAUAUUUCCAUAAGCUAAAUAAGUAAAAUCUAGUAUUGUCAUGUGUAUUUUGAAAACCAACAUAUUUAUUCACCAUGUCCCAAAAGAGUACACUUUGUAGUUGUCAGCACAGAAUUUAUCCUCCAAUUUUAAGGCUUCAGAGUAUUCCACCAGCAGUAGGUUUAAUCAUUCACCAUUACCACACUCUUAUCCAAACCACACUUCACACGUUUGACUACUGUUUCCAUGGUAACCCUCAGUAUUUGCUCUCAAAACACUCGGAUAAGAAAUUGGGGCUUCACUCAAUUUUGUUUGACUACAUAACUGAUGAGGGCACAGGAGGACCUCUGGACUGUUUAUCUGUACAUCUGUCUUCUCAGACCAUGAAGAAAAAAUUCUUUUCCACACCCCUUUUUAUAAAAAUACUUUUGUGCUACUCAUCCACUAUCAGAAAUGAUAAUAUGCAAAAGUGUUCAUUUGCAUAUAGCAGUUAAAUGGCUUAAGAUCUUCAGGUAGAUAAUUAAGACACUGCCAGUAUUCCAGUAAGAACUCAGUAGUAGAUUAAUUGAUGGUGGGAUCAAGGUGAACAGUGUGUGCACACUGGGCUAUGUCAGAUAGAGUAGGGUGCACUUUGUCUCUGAGGGCUAGUUUUGACAGUCUGGAGGAUCAUGCUUCAGGGUUAUUCAUUUUAACCUCUUUGUCCAAAGGCCUGAUUUUAUCAACUGCUCUUUCUAUAUCAUCCAACAAUAGGCUUUUGCAUGUGUGUAACUGUUUCUGUGUUUAUUUCUUUGAGAGCGAUGGCUUGUUUCCACUGAGACUGUUAACUGAACUGGAAAAGCUUCAGUAACUCUGAGGUCUAACAGCCAGACGGGCAGCAGUCGCCGAAGUGAACUUGCUGGAGGGGACCAGGACGGUCAUUGCCAUUUGUCCAGCUCAGCAGUUGGCCUCCCCAGUGAGGAGGAGGAGGAGGACAGAUGUGGGGACAGAAGUCCAGUAGCGAGCGGCUGAUCACUUAUCUCUGUCCAAGGUGUACUUCCCCGGCUGUGAUAAAUCAGGAGCCAUGCCCAAAGACUCCAGAGUGAAGCUGCUCUACUCCUUCUCCUCCUUUUCAGUUACUCUGGCAUGAAAAGCCAGUAAGACGACAGGCUUCAUUUUGACAACACACCAUUACUGCCAUACAGCAAAUGAGAACAUUUCACUCAGUGCACCAGAAGAGCUAUUUGCAGCCAAAUUAUGACUGUACUCAAAGGUCUGCCAUUCUUGCUGAUAACAUAAAGUUUUUGCGAGUAAACCCA